UGCUGGUUUAGCUCAGUCGGUAGAGCGCAUCCAUGGUAAGGAUGAGGUCGCCGGUUCAAUCCCGGCAACUAGCAUC
rnacentral:tRNA from 2 species